AUGCAUACCCGUGAUCACAAUGUCAAUCGUGUUCUCGCAGCAAGAGAUGCUCAUCUCCACAGCACUCUUCCCCUAUACUACUUGUGCUUGAGGGCUGGCUAUAGAUCAAAUAACCCAGCGGUGCUCCCAACAAACUGGCCCACACUGCACAUGUUCCCUUCCUUCGUGGCCAACCUCCACAACUUGCAUGAUUAUUUCGCCCUUGUCCUCGCUGGAUCAGGUCACAACUUCAGGGCGCACGGCCCUCCUGGGACCGGGAUGCGGUUAUUCGUCACAUGCGACCCUGCGAACAUCCGGCACAUCUUCACGACCAACUACACCAACUUUCCCAAGGGUGCGGAGUUUGCCGCUAUCUUUGACAUCAUGGGUGGAAGCCUCUUUACUAUUGACGGCGAGCUGUGUCGUCAGCAGCGCGCCAAAGUCAAGGGCGUACUUAGCAGUCCAUGGAUGGUUGCCAGGAUUGCCGCUUGCUGCCGCGACAAGGUGGAGAACAACCUGCUCCCCUUGUUUACCAACAUGGAGAGCAUUGGCACUCCGUUCGACAUGCAAGAAAUGAUGUCGAGGUUUAUGUUUGACCUGGGUGCUACGCCUCUCUUUGGCGUGGACCCGGGGCUCCUAUCAUCGGACAUGCCGCCCAUGGAUGUCGCGGUCGCCAUGGACACGGUCAUGGAGGCGGGCUUCUUUCGGCAUGUGGUGCCAGCUUCUUGUUGGAAAUUGAUGAGGCGGCUAAACAUCGGCCCUGAGAGAAAGCUCAGAGUGGCGCACACUAUGUUACGAGGGUUUAUCGUGGAUAUGAUGGAGAGGAGGAAGAUCAACACAUGCCAUAUUGGUAAUGAUGAGGAACAAGAGGGUGUGGAUAUUAUGUCUCCCUUCCUCAAUGAUCCAGACUACGCCAACGAUGAAUUGGCCCAUGCAAUGAUCAUUGGCUACAUGCUCGCUGCAAGGGACACAGUUGGAACGACCCUAACAUGGAUCUUCUACAAUCUCGCUCAGAACCCAAACAUUGUGUCAAUCAUACGCAAUGAACUCUCGCCCAUUGCAUCAACCAAAGUAGCAGCCCGCGCGGAUGCCAUGGUGAUCUUUGAGCAGAACGAGACCAAAUAUCUAGUAUAUCUGAAAGCCGUCUUGUACGAGACUCUUAGGUUGUACCCACCAGCGCCUUUUGAGAGGAAGACGGUGGCCGCCGAUGAUAUAAUGCCAAGUGGCCAUGAACUGGGCACCGGCGACACCAUCCUUAUUUCUCUCCAUUCCAUGGGAAGAAUGGAGGGCAUAUGGGGUAAAGACUGCCUCAACUACAAUCCAGAUAGGUGGCUCUCGGAGGAUGGCAAUAAGCUGAGAUACGUACCAUCUCACAAGUUCUUGGCCUUCAACUCGGGCCCGAGAAUGUCACCUUACGAGGUAUGUUAG
rnacentral:rRNA from 1 species